rnacentral:lncRNA from 1 species
GGGGGGGUGUGAGAGUGACCGUGCUCUGCGCUACGAGCUCGUAUUUAAAAAAGAAAACAACGAGCAUAAGCCAGCACCGACCUUCCUUUGCUUCACCAAAAGGAACUUCACCUAAAGCUGCUGCAGGCCCUGGAAACCAGGGAUAGAUGGCCUAAAAUACUUUCCAUUUAGAACAUCAUGAGCAAGUACAAUAGCGUAAUGAAACUCAAACUUUCCUCCUCUCUUUAUUACCUUGCACUGUUGCUCCAGCCCCUGGAAAAAUUCUACUCAAGGACUGCAGCAUUCCAAGCUUUACCAAGGGACUGCGUGUGCAGGAAGGCAUGGCCACCCCAGCAGGGCUCACCGGGGCUCUGCUUAGAGCUUUCCGUAUUUUGCAAUCUCAUGGUUAUUUCCUCAGACCAUUUUUGCUUUGCCUGAAAUUCACAAUUUCAAAACCUCUGAGCAGCCCUGGAAUGGGGAGGGGAACCUCCCUCGAUAUUAAGUAAAAAACCAAAAAAAAAACCCCCACAACCAACCAACAAAACCAAACAAAAAUUAGGAUCUGCCAAGAGAUACACAGCCCCAAGCAGAAGUGGGCAUUCCAGCUACUGAACUCAGACCCAGUGUGUGGUGCAGAUGCCAUCUGACUUGCUAGGGGCUACACCAUUGCAAAUAUAAACCAAACAGCAAAAUUCAGACUAUGGGUUUAGUCACAGAAAGGUGCUGGCUUCUCAAAAGCAGAGUUCGAGCAACAGCAUGAAAGAACAAACCCCUUUUCCAUGUGAACCUGGAUAAAGAGCCUGACAGAAGAGGAAUUGUAAACAUGUCACUUCCUACAGAGAUUGAUCACAACCAGGAAUAAUUGAUUCACGCAAGCCCUUAGGAACUAGAAAGGCAUCAAUCUCCUUGCUGCUUCUGUGCUCUGUAUGCUCUGAAACAUGGAGCAGCCGCUGGUGUUGCUGUUUGCACGUGCCAUGGCCGUUGACAACUGCGGUGUUGCUCAAGUUGAGCCUCUCACUUGAGAGCAGCACUUGACCCUGCAGGGAACUGGCUCUUGGAGUUGUGAAUCACAUCUUCUUCACAAGGUUUGGCAAGUACACAGACCAGCCUCAGCUUUUUCAUUUUAAUAGGUACAACCACAGAAAGAGGAACAAUUACCAGAUCUACCUUCGUUGUGAAGAAUAAUCAUAUUCCCCAGAAGAGAAUCCCGAAGUGUUUCUAGAGUUUAUGAUCAGCUACAGCCUGCGCAGUACAGAGGUGGAAUGCUUAAUGUUUUACACCAAGCGCUAAGGCUUACUUACAACUUUAGCAGUGUAAGCUAGUUACCUGAAAAGCAAUUAAAGGUGACAAAUAGUGCGCACAAAUGAGGCAUGAAAAAUGACAGUAAAUUCUUCCAGUUUUUUUGAAACUGUCUUAUAUAAAAUGUCAAUUAGUACAAAUGGAAAAAUAGCAAAAAAGACAAGCUCCACACCAGAACACUGGAACAUUUUAAGAUUAAGGUGACCUCUUUACUGAGAAGGAAACAAAUUUUAUGAUGACAAAGCAACACAGUUCUUUGGUUUUUAUAUACUUGAAUUGAAGAAUAAAACUAGUAUUUCCCUGUGUAUUUU